rnacentral:lncRNA from 1 species
AAAGAAUGUAUGGAGGCCACCAAUUAGUGGAACUCUUAAGUUGAAUUUUGAUGAAAGUUCUUUUAGAAAUCUGAGAGUUUUUGUUAUGUCCGGAGACUAUGAGAAAUUCAAAUGUGAUGGUGGAUGACUUAGCAAAAAAAUGGACUCCGUUGGAUGAAUUGUUGGUUGCUGAAGAACUUUUUCUUUGAUUUUUUAGUUUGAUGGUUCUAUAAAUUUGUAACAUCUUUGUGUAAUUGAAAAAACUUAUAUUGAGCCAAGGCUAUAAACAGUCAAAUUAAAGCCCACUUCAAAAAUUUCACUAGAAGAGGCUGUUUUGAUGCCCAAAUAUCCUCAAAUUGAUCAUCUCGACAUCAAGAUGCAUAGACAUGAGAAAAAAAAAUAGACUUCAAGUUUUGAAAAUAAUGCAUCUUUGUAAC